AGUGAACGCUGGCGGUAGGCCUAACACAUGCAAGUCGAACGGUAGCACAGUAAGAGCUUGCUCUUACGGGUGGCGAGUGGCGGACGGGUGAGGAAUACAUCGGAAUCUACUUUUUCGUGGGGGAUAACGUAGGGAAACUUACGCUAAUACCGCAUACGACCUACGGGUGAAAGCAUGGGAUCUUCGGACCUUGCGCGAUUGAAUGAGCCGAUGUCGGAUUAGCUAGUUGGCGGGGUAAAGGCCCACCAAGGCGACGAUCCGUAGCUGGUCUGAGAGGAUGAUCAGCCACACUGGAACUGAGACACGGUCCAGACUCCUACGGGAGGCAGCAGUGGGGAAUAUUGGACAAUGGGCGCAAGCCUGAUCCAGCCAUACCGCGUGGGUGAAGAAGGCCUUCGGGUUGUAAAGCCCUUUUGUUGGGAAAGAAAAGCAGCAGGUUAAUACCCCGCUGUUCUGACGGUACCCAAAGAAUAAGCACCGGCUAACUUCGUG
rnacentral:rRNA from 1 species